CUUUCAACAACGGAUCUCUUGGUUCUGGCAUCGAUGAAGAACGCAGCAAAAUGCGAUAAGUAAUGUGAAUUGCAGAAUUCAGUGAAUCAUCGAAUCUUUGAACGCACAUUGCGCCCUCUGGUAUUCCGGGGGGCAUGCCUGUUCGAGCGUC
rnacentral:rRNA from 4 species